UUCCACAGCAUGUUGCCAUCAAAAGGACUUAGUAAGGAAUCUCAAAUGUGCUUUCCAGUACGAGAAAAAGAAAGAAGUAGUAAGCAAAAGAGGCCACACAAAAGAAUUUGUAGAUUUCAUUGAUACAGACUAUGGAAGAUAAUAUAUGAAGAGCUCUAGUAUGUAUGCUUAUCUCAUUAUCUCCAUUCUCAGCUGUAGCCACUGUUCUCACCAGUGAGGAAAGAGCAAUUCCUGUAGAGCUAAAUAAACACCAGACGUGUUUUGUAUAAAUCCAUCAAGAGCGAUCUGGAUCACUCCUGCCCCGCCACUUGCAUGGCAAAGAGGAAAGGCAGAAGAUUAGAUUGAUACUGACAACUCGUUCCCUGUGAAGGUGCCACGAUGUGGCAUUUAUUUGCAUCUACAUUGCAGUUCUCUUCAUCAAUCAGCUUUGCAGAGAUCACUGCUGCUGCUGGCCAUAUUGUUGCUAUGCUGACACUUCAUCCUUAAGUGCUGCUUGCGUAAUGGUACAGUACGUGCCCAUGACCAAAGUUUAAAUCAAAGUUUAAUCAUUACGGAAAGACAAACAUAUUUCCGCGACUGUGUAUCCUGCAAGUAAGAGUAAAAGCAGUUUGGUCGGGUCACAGAUGUUAAUCUCUCCUCUUUUUCUAUUCACAAACUAUAAAGGGAGUUGACAGCACCUGUAAAUGGUUUUCUGAGGCUAGAUUAUAUCUAAGGUGAUUAUUAUUUACACCCACUAUAGAGACUGCUCUUGUGAGCCAAGAAGUCUGUUCCCGUGAGGUGAGUGUUACCAAAAAAGGGCUUUCUUGCAGGAGGAUUCAGUGGAGCGAGGAGACAGGGUGAGGGGCGGUUCAUGCUCACAUGGAGUGCCUUGUCAUGUCUCGGGUUUGUAUAACCCGGGGACUGAAACAGUUGGGAUAUGCUGCAGUUCUGCAUUCCCAGACACACGGGAUGAAGGGAAAGCUUCAGCUCUCUCAACCUGAGUUUUUCAAGCAGGGGCUGACCUUUUCCCACAGCCCAGUUCUGCUCUUCAUAUGAAGAUCAAUACAGGACAGUAAAAGGAUAGGAAACGAGUUGACCUGCCAGUAUGAAUCAGAGAGAACACAUGCUUGUUUAAUCAAGUAAAGACAUAUUAACAUAGAAAUCCUGCAGCCAUUACUAAAUCACUGUGGCUGGUAGCAAAGACUUUUACUUUGACCAGCUUUCAUGUGCCAUACUUCUGUGAAGCCUCUAUAAUGUCCACAGUUUAGGUGUGAAAUUUCUAAGUGUGAAACCCACUCUCCUUUAGCGCAUCUUCUUCAGCCAAUCUGCAUACAGGAGACUCACAUAAUUCAAAGACUUUUCUAUCUCUGUUCCCUGCUUCUACAAGCUUCCCCUGAAAAAGAGUCACUUUGUCAGAACUGAUUUUCUAACUGUAUUUUAUUUCGUCCAACCAUUUCUGUAACUUCAGCGUGUGCAUUUCAUUAAGCCCUCCUUGUAAACUAAUUCCACUCAUGUACAUAUCAAAUUCGUUUGCCAGCUUUAUAGAUUAUAACCAGACACAUAUAAAAUGUUUUAGAUAACUAAAAAUGGAAAUGAGAUGUAUUGGUGAUACGAACCGAAAUAUUUGAAGCAACGUUUUUUUCUUGUGUGAGUUCUGAAACGUUAUUAACCGAAUAGAAAGUAUCUUUCCUGCUCGGUGCUGCAUGGCUGCUGGGCGUGCGUAUGUAAGGGAGCCGUGGCACCGCGCCACAGAAACCGCGAGUCCCUUUAAAGCACAGAGGGAAACCUGUAAUGGACGGGGUUUUCGGCGUUUCUAGCAACAAAGGAAUCAGGAAGAGGUACUGAAAGAAAGAAACCCAUCCACCACAGCCCAGCUGGGAGAGGCUCGGCGCUCCCCCGCCCCUCAGCGGGCACAGUGCGCCGGCUGCGCGCCGGCGACGCGGUGCCGGUGACCGCCCGCCGCGCAGCGCACCGGGUCCCGGCCGAACCGCCUCCCCGCAGUGAGAGUUUAUUAUUCUUUGGACGCGAGCAGCGAUGCCGAUGUUUGCAAAAACAGCCGCCGACUGCAGCGAGAGCAAAAGCGGGCUGUGCAGAGCCUCUCCUGGCCACCGCGGGCACCGGCGUGGCCGCGGGGCCGGGCGGGGAGCGGGCAACUUAGGGGAUCGCGGGCGGAAGAGGGCAGGCUUCGGGGUUUUUUAUUUUGUUUUCCUCCCAAUGAAAUGAAAUCUCAGCUUAUUUGCCUGAGUCGAAGUUGUUUUGAGUGAUUUGCCUGUUAACAGCGUUAUGCAAAUGUUAGCUAGCUAUUUAAAGGGGGAAAUAGAAGAAGAAGAAAAAAAAAAGCCGUGUAUUCUCACAGCGCCGGGGAAAUCCUAUGUCCCUUUGCAUUAGCGAGAUGAGAUCACAGCAAUUACUCACCUGCUUGGCCUCUCCUACACCCUUGAGCAACGUACAGCACUAGCUUUCCCAGCCCAACCUUAAACACUUGGCAAAUAUGGCUGAUUUAAACAAAUCAAAAGUGGAAGAGCUUCUGAUGCAGUCACGGGCUUACAAAAACUGUGUCAUUCUGUCACCAGGAUCACUGAAAGAGAAACACGAAAUCGGAUAUUAAGGCGGGAUCCCCUCAUUUGCCUCAGCAGCCGGAGCGCACGGGAAUCCCACCGACAGCCGCGGUGGCAGGACGCCGCGCAGCCGCCACGGAAGCAAAGCGGGGCGAUUCGCGGGUUUACAAAAUCCCGAAAGCGAGGCAUCUGAACUUAGAAAGCGCAGUCGGGCCGGGGGGGGGGGGGGUUGCGGGGGGAGGGAAAAAAAAAGCCCAACAAAAAAACCA